rnacentral:lncRNA from 1 species
GGCCCCUCUUUGGAUUUCCAGAGCUCUGUAUCUCGGAGGUUCUCCUCUUGGAUAUUCUGUCCUGUGAACUACAGCCUCCUUGGACUCCAAGGUCUCCCAGCUCCAACUUCUCUGCUCAGGAAGAUCACAAUGCUCCACCUGCAUUCCCCAUUUCCAAACCCUCCACUGUGGUUUGGAAAUUCUACCAGGUAGCACGAUGGGGCAGGUGCGGAAACAGAGGCACAAAGAAAUAACCUUCAUUUCAGGAAGAACAACCAGUGGACUGUUUUUAGUGCCAGAGUCAAGACGACGUCUUCUGAUUCCACCUGAUACUUAUUCCAUAUACAAAUAGCAAGAACAAUGUCUUAAUACUUUUGAUUCUCUUACCCAGCAAAGGGUCCUUAGUAGACGUGAGCAAGAACAUGUCUAUUUCAAUAAACAAACAAGUAAACAAAUAAAAUCUAUCAUGUUAUGAAACAAUAAAAGAGCUUGGUGGAUAUAGAAUGGGGAAAAGAGAAUUAGUUUUGAGUCAAAAUAUCUGGAUAUGAGUCUUUGUUAUGCAGUUAAAUCAUUCACCAAAUAUCAUUGAGAGCUCGAUUCUGUCAGGCUCUCUGACACAUAAAAAAAAAAAAAUAGAGAACUAUGGGCCAGGCACCGUGGCUCACGCCUGUAAUCCUAGCACUUUAGGAGGCUGAGGCAGGUGGAUUACCUGAGAUCAGGAGUUCAAGACCAGCCUGGCCAACAUAGUGAAACCCCAUCUCUACUAAAAAUACAAAAAAUCAGCCAGGUGCAGUGGCGCACGCCUGUAAUCCCAGCUACUCAGGAGGCUGAGGAAGGAGAAUCGCUUGAACCUGGGAGGCGGAGGUUGCCGUGAGCCGAGAUCAGGCCACUGCACUCCAGCCUGGGCAACUGAAGGAGGCUUUGUCUCAAAAAUAAAUAAAUAAAUAAAUAAAUAAAUAAAUAAAUAAAUAAAUAAAUAAAAAUAAAUAGAGAACUAUGAAUAUUUGGGGUUUUAAUUGUCAUUGCUGUUGUUUUAUAAAAGUUACUUUCUUUGAUGCCAGGUUAGUUCAGAGUGCUUAUCAAUCUCCUUUCUCAAUUCAUUUUAAGUGAGAAAAAAUCCUGACCAUUUUGAAUUAACAUAUUCUAUUGUCUUCUGAUAACUAAUAGUUAUUCAACGUAAUGAAAAGAGCUGCUUUUGUUUCAUAAUAUCAAUUGUGUGAAACUUAGUAAAAAAUAUUCUCUUCCUAUUUUUCAUGAAAGAUAGUUCCAGUAAUUGUUUCUAGAUCUUUAAUUGGUUUGGAAGAGAUAAGUAAAAUUAACCUUUCAAUACUUUGUAGAAAGUAGGACUCCAGAAGUUUAGAUUUCUACUAAUUAUAAAACAACUGCAACUCUGCUACUCCACAAACACAUCAAUAACAAGUUUUUAAUACCAAUUCACUGUAUCUCUGUUUUGGGAAAUUAUAUUUAAAAAUAAAGAAAACCUAUUUAAAG